ensembl:lncRNA
AUGCUGCACACAGCCAUGUGCACGACCAUCAAACACCCGACCAGCGAGCAGGCGCAGCACGCCAAGAGGUACAUCCUGGACAAGGUGCACAGCACAGUGAGGGACAUUGUUGUAACUCUGAAAAGCGAACGCCGCAGUGGACCACUGGGUCCUUGUGGGUAUUACACAGCGAGGAGAAACAGUCUGUUGCUGCUGCUCACCAGUUCCCCCACCUCCUCCAUCCCAGGCGGUGGCCUCGACAGUGUGGUGAGAGAUCUUGUGUUUCACUGUAUGGUUGUGGCCAACACUUCUCGUAGAGAGCUUCAACAGAGCGUGGUGGGCCAUUGUCUUCACGUCCUGCAGCUCUGGUCCGACAUAAGUAGGGUUUUAAAGUCCACAGAGGAGGAUUUGAGGAAGAACCUUGAGAGUACUUGUCAUUUUUUGGUGCAGCAAAUAGGAAUGCUUGAUGAGGCUUUGAUGACUAGUGUUCUCUAUCAAGUCCUGGACACAUUUCCUGCAGCAUCGGCGACGGUUGAGGAACUUCUAAGACUGUCGGGAAAAAUCCUGGUCGCCGAUUGUCCCACAGAGAUGGAUCUGUCCUUCAUUCAGGCAGAAGUUGAGGACGUCAUAGCUUCCACUGACAGAAUAAUCAAAGUGGCAAAUUUCCUCUCAGCUGUCGCCGUUGAUGCAAAAAGUUUGGAGAGUGUGGAGAACUCGCGAGUCGGCCUCGCCAGACUCAGAGCUCAGCUCGCACCCCUCUCUCUGGAGCUGGCGGAUAACUCGAUGCAAACCGUUCAAAAGAUUCACGAGGCCUGCGAAAAGUGGCAAGAGGAGACUGGUCAGCUUCAGGAAGCCCUCAGUGAUGUAAUGGACGUGAGGGAGUUCACCAGCGCUGCCGUCGAUGAGGUGGUCAGCGAUCGGCACGGAUGUGACUCAGCGCACAGACAGCAGAGCUGCAAACUGUUUAAACAACACGCCGUGAGCCUUUUUUGUCACAUGAAGCUGGCGGUCGACUCGGUGAGGAGGCACUUGGACAGAAGUGACGACCCCAUCUACAGAAACGGGCUGCUGGUGCUGCUGAAACAGGUUCAGUCAUCUGGAGCCAAAGCGAGUGAGUCGGUCAGAGACGUGCUCUUAGGUUCCGGUCUAAGCGUGGAGGUAUAUUCCACCUUUUCACACAAUGUGUCCGCUGCCAUCAAGCAUUUAAAAGUGCUCAGAAAGGGGCUGGACGGCCUACAGCAUCCACACCUCCUGAGCCCGCUGCGAGGAGACGCACGUCGGCCCGAAAUCUCACAGCCGUGCGUGCCUGUAAAAGGCCCCCGCGAACUGGACGCGGGUCACAUGACGAGAGGCCGUUCGGUUUUACAGGCUACGGAGAAGGGUCCUCAAACCGAGCACGAGGAGGAACACUCGCACGAGGAAAGCAUAGAAGCAGAACUGGCUCGUAAAUAUGAUUUACUGGUCCCAGCUGUCCCCGUUGAGCUGAAACCGAUCCACAGAACUCUUGAAUUUGACCUUUUACCCCUCAUGUACGAAGUCGUGACUGUGACUAAAGGGAAAGAUGUGACACUACUGAACCGGGUCUGCACUGGCGUUUUUGAGCUGUCGAACUGCUACGCCCAAGCUGCGAAGGAGGCCGUGGCCGUUGUGGACGCGCUUGACUGUCAGACGUUGGAGAGUCUCAGAGCAGAGCUGGUGUCACUGACUCCGCUGCUCGUCCAGACGGCCCAGGAAACGGCGAUGAGCUCGGCGAUGAGCGCGGACAGCGUCUGCAGACACAGCGCGCGCUUCUCUGACCUCAUAAACAACACCAGGAAGGUUUUGCUGCCGGUCGCUGGCACCUGGUACAACGCUGUUUACACUCAGCUGCAAGGAAACCCGCCGGCAACGCCCGCCACCGUUGCGCGGCAGCUAAACGAAGUGAUGACUUUAUGCGCUGAAGCUGUCCAGCUCUUGACGUCGUCCGGUUUAACGUCCCAAGGCGACGGUCACGAAACAUUGAGCGUUUUACACAACAAGCUGAACAAAGCCCAGAACAACACAAAGCAUCUGAUCGAGUUUUCCUCCUCAACGGACAGACCGGGGGAUCAACUCGAGGGCCUCUGUGUCCUCUGGGGCCUGUCGAUUCAGGUGUUGCUGCGUUCGCUUGACAAGAUUUUGGGGACAUCAACCGCGACGAACCCGCUGAGCCCCCAGAGACACGUGGCCGUGUUGUCUGAGACCUCGCUUCGGAUCCAGGAGGCGACGAGGUUAACCUGCCAGAAUUGCAGAAGUGCGUACGAAUCCAAACAGCUGGCAGGAUACCAGAAUGAACUAAAAAGCCUGACUGAAGCGUAUCUCCAAGCUGCAGAGGAGCUCGACGCGAUGCCCAGCGUCACGCAACUUGCAAAAUCUGAUGUCUUCCAGAGGCAUCUUUUGAUUAAAAUCCGAGCGCUUUCCUCUCAUUUAAACAAGACAAACAAAGAUUACGACGCUGCGCUUCAAAAUAUUGUCAGUGUCGCUCUUUUUUCUGCUGAACAUUUCAAGGAGAGCAACACGGAGGACACAGAGCGAACAUUUGACACCGCUGCUGAAACGCUGCUUGAAAAUGUCAAAACCGCAACCAAAAGGGUCGAGGACAGCUUGCACUUCAUCCGCGACCCACAUGUGCGUUCCCACCUGAGGUCCGUCAACGACCACCUGCCUUUUCAGAUCUCGGAUGUAAUCAGCAGGGCGAGGCUCAUGCUGGAGACUCACUAUAUUAGUGACACACUCAGUCUGGACGUGCAGAUCCAGUGCUGGUCAGCCAAAGCUCGUUACGUGGCGGAGGAGAUCAGGAAACAGGACGGGAUUCACCAAGAGGUCAAAGAGGUCAUCACGGCCGGUCUGCAGGGCAGAAGCCUUGAGGAUAGCACAGAGGCGUCGGCCGGGGGGCCGUCUAAAGUAAAAGAAGGGGGAUUUCCCUGUGACGUGACAAUGACGCCGUGGCAGAGAGGCAACGCGGAACGCGUAGAUGCUGCAGAAACAAAUACUAAUGCGGUAAAAUAUGGAGAUGGUAAUAUUGAAAAUUUAGGUAUUUCAUCAAGUUACACUAUUAUUCAAUUACCUUUCGGUCACAAUUAA